ensembl:snRNA U6 U6 spliceosomal RNA
GUGUUUGCUUUGGCAGCACUUAUAUUAAAAUUUGAACUAUGCAGCAAAUUGAGCAUGACCCCUGCACAAAGAUUACAUGCAGAUUCACGAAGCUUUACAUAUUUGG